ACUACGGGAGGCAGCAGUGGGGAAUAUUGCGCAAUAGGCGAAAGCCUGACGCAGCGACGCCGCGUGAGGGAUGAAGGUCUUCGGAUCGUAAACCUCUGUCAGCAGGGAAGAACGGUCACUGUGCUAAUCAGCAGUGAAUUGACGGUACCUGCAAAGGAAGCACCGGCUAACUCCGUGCCAGCAGCCGCGGUAAUACGGGGGGUGCGAGCGUUAAUCGGAAUUACUGGGCGUAAAGCGCUCGUAGGCGGUAUGUCAAGUCAAGGGUGAAAUCCCCGCGCUCAACGUGGGAACUGCCUUUGAAACUGGCAAACUGGAGUGGGUGAGAGGAUAGCGGAAUUCCAGGUGUAGGAGGGAAAUCCGUAGAUAUCUGGAGGAACAUCAGUGGCGAAGGCGACUAUCUGGCACAUAACUGACGCUGAGGAGCGAAAGCGUGGGUAGCAAACAGGAUUAGAUACCCUAGUAGUC
rnacentral:rRNA from 1 species